rnacentral:guide_RNA from 1 species
AACACAAACCAAUGAGCAAGUAUAAGUUAGAUAAGUGAUGUGAUU